UUACGGGUGCAAAUCCCGUCCCGGCAAAAGUCGUCCCGUCCGGGUGCUAUCUCAGCGAUGGUUGAGGAAACGAAGCUGUCGGAGCCUGAUAGAAACAAGGCAGUGAAAGACUGUCUGCAAACUGGUAAGCCAUAACGCGA
rfam:Lentisphaerae bacterium GWF2_50_93 gwf2_scaffold_3950, whole genome shotgun sequence.